rnacentral:tRNA from 1 species
AGGGGUAUAGCUCAGUGGUAGAGUGUGUGCCUAACAUGCAUGAGGUCCUAGGUUCAACCCCCAGUAUCUCCA